rnacentral:rRNA from 1 species
GACGAACGCUGGCGGCGUGCCUAAUACAUGCAAGUAGAACGCUGAAGAGAGGAGCUUGCUCUUCUUGGAUGAGUUGCGAAAGGGUGAGUAACGCGUAGGUAACCUGCCUUGUAGCGGGGGAUAACUAUUGGAAACGAUAGCUAAUACCGCAUAACAAUGGAUGACACAUGUCAUUUAUUUGAAAGGGGCAAUUGCUCCACUACAAGAUGGACCUGCGUUGUAUUAGCUAGUAGGUGAGGUAAUGGCUCACCUAGGCGACGAUACAUAGCCGACCUGAGAGGGUGAGCGGCCACACUGGGACUGAGACACGGCCCAGACGCCUACGGGAGGCAGCAGUAGGGAAUCUUCGGCAAUGGGGGCAACCCUGACCGAGCAACGCCGCGUGAGUGAAGAAGGUUUUCGGAUCGUAAAGCUCUGUUGUAAGUCAAGAACGGGUGUGAGAGUGGAAAGUUCACACUGUGACGGUAGCUUACCAGAAAGGGACGGCUAACUACGUG